GAAAUCAGCCCUCAGUUUCAAGUGACAGGCAGACAGCAGCCAGGCUGGGAAAGCAGCAGUAGGAUAAUUUCUGAUAGUCAAGUUAUCCAGAAGCCCACAACUUUACCUUAAGUAAUGAUGCAAUCAAUUUGAAACAAACUCGGGGAACGCCGAAGGACGAUGGCAUCCGCACGUGAGAGAGGUGCUGCGAAGCGCUCUUUCCGAGAGGUUUUUCGGGGAGGGCGAUGCACUAAACCCUCCGCUCCGUCUCAGAAUCCCCCCGGGCAGCGGCAGCUGAAGCUCCCCGGUCGCUUUCUCCGGGAGGCCCCGGUCUGUGCCGCUGGGGCUGCGCGGGGCCCCGCGGGAGAUGCGCGGCUGCGGAGCCCCCGUGCCCUGCGGCAGCCGCGCCGGGCGGGCGGUGCGCUUCGCAUCCCCGGCGUUUAUUCCUUAAUGCCUUAAAAUAAAAAAACCCGGCCGAUUUCUCAACAAGCGCAUUUUCAUAGACUUGUGCAUGGUGAUUGCUUUGUAUGAAAUCGUGUUGGAGUAAUAAUAUUGAAAAUCAGUGCAGUGUUUACUUUAUUUCAUACCUAACAGCUUGUUUUGCGCGGUGCUAUCCUCCUCUUUAGAUCUCCCUUUCAGCCCAUGCUGUGACUGUCCUCUGGUAACAAACAAUUGCUUAGCAACACUAUGCAGCAC